AGAUUGAACGCUGGCGGCAUGCCUUACACAUGCAAGUCGAACGGCAGCACGGGAGCAAUCCUGGUGGCGAGUGGCGAACGGGUGAGUAAUAUAUCGGAACGUGCCCAGUAGUGGGGGAUAGCCCGGCGAAAGCCGGAUUAAUACCGCAUACGACCUACGGGUGAAAGCGGGGGAUCGCAAGACCUCGCGCUAUUGGAGCGGCCGAUAUCAGAUUAGCUUGUUGGUGGGUAAAAGCCUACCAAGGCGACGAUCUGUAGCUGGUCUGAGAGGACGACCAGCCACACUGGGACUGAGACACGGCCCAGACUCCUACGGGAGGCAGCAGUGGGGAAUUUUGGACAAUGGGCGCAAGCCUGAUCCAGCCAUGCCGCGUGUGGGAAGAAGGGCCUUCGGGUUGUAAACCACUUUUGUCAGGGAAGAAACGGCUACUUACUAAUAUUAGGAGCUAAUGACGGUACCUGAAGAAUAAGCACCGGCUAACUACGUGACCAGCAGCCG
rnacentral:rRNA from 1 species